rnacentral:sRNA from 1 species
UUCGACCCAGCUCGGCAUAACUAAAUCAACAGUGAAAAUGUUCGGAGCAAAAUAUUUUUGCUAGAAGCUGGGGAAGAACCAUGGGGUUCUAAGAUUUCGGUGCAGUGCGAGGCUUUUCUGGAAGAUUUUAGACGCCGCAUCGUAGCCUCAUGACUUGCCCACACUGGCCGGUCUUUUAAAUGGCCGGAUUAAAAUAUAUUUCUUAUGCUAGAGCAGAAGAGCCAGACUUGAACACUCUAUUUUCUUCAUGCGAGGCAGGACUUUGCAGCUCAGUUUCCGGAAUUUCAGGACAGGAAACGAAUCUCCGCCGCAGGCAAUAGACGUCUCUUGAAGACUGUGCCACUUACAGACUCUCGAUUUGUCUGGGAAUCUUCUCUUCUUGGCCUAAAACCCUCUGAUGGUCGUGAUGACGGUUCCUGGGAUUAUGAUCUUCACAGCCUUGGGACAAAUCGAGCAUGGAAUACAGCAUUGAAUCCUCGCACUCCAGUUAAGCUGCAGCUUAAUUGGGAUCCGAGGAUUCGUGGAAUUCCAAAGGUUCGGCAAACAGCUGGAACCGAACUCCCUGGUAUUAUUCUACUACAAAAUAAAUAGAUUUUUCUCUUAAUGUUUUUAUCAA